UACGUAGGGGGCGAGCGUUGUCCGGAUUUAUUGGGCGUAAAGAGCGUGUAGGCGGCCAGGUAGGUCUGCUGUGAAAACUUGAGGCUCAACCUCGAGACGUCGGCGGAAACCAUCUGGCUAGAGUCCGGAAGAGGAGAGUGGAAUUCCUGGUGUAGCGGUGAAAUGCGCAGAUAUCAGGAAGAACACCCGUGGCGAAGGCGGCUCUCUGGGACGGUACUGACGCUGAGACGCGAAAGCGUGGGGAGCGAACAGG
rnacentral:rRNA from 1 species